UACCACCUCUCUGUCGCCUCCUCCCUCGGUUCCCUCCACCAACACUCUACCUUUGUCACCGCCCUCUCCUUCUACGCCCCUCCCAAUCUCCACUUCCCCCGCAACCUCAUCUCUGCCGACGACGCUGGCUCCCUCGCCAUUUUUGACGCAAACGGCUUUGUCCAUCUUACCACGCUCUCCGGCCACUGCAACGGUGGUAUCAACGACCUCGCCUCUACAACUGUCCGGUGAGCGCGACCGAUAAAAUUGAAGAUGUUUGUUCAGGCUUUGAAGGAUGCUUGAAUAGAGGAGUUCUCUUUGUCAGCUUAGCGAGGAAGCAAGUGGGAGCAAUGAUUCUUGUCGGUCACAGGUGAUUAUGUUUCUUAAAUUAAUUUUCUUGGAUUGUUGUUAUAGGGGCUUCAACUGAAAGUAAGUUUGAUGCUUAAAAAAUUAUACGAUUUUGAAACAACUAUAACUUCCAUCUGAAGUAAUAUUUUAAGCUCAAUAAACCAAGUCAUAUGCUACUAAGUUGAUUAAAGAAGAGAAGAACCGAAAGCCUCUUCCAGGCCUCAAGUUCGUCUGCCCUACUCCCACUACCGAGACCUCCAUUUAUAGCCAAAAUCCUCCUUCAUUUUAACCAAGUUGUUUGUUUUGUUUUAUCUCCAAUUGAAAACCCGUGAACUUCCAGCUUUCACGGUUUUCUUGGUCUGCCUUCCAUCCAGAUUUGUGAUGUUUGUGUCCCCAUGAAGACUUUCUUCACCUCCUAGGUGUGCCAAAGAAAUAGGGUGGGCCCCUCUGUCUUUUCUUCAAUCCGUUUGCACUCUUCUUCCUCUUCUUCCUUUGCUGGACGUUACAACACCUUCUUCUCCUCAUCUCCACUUUACACGUUGCAGCUUCAACUGGACCAAGACCGUGGACAUUCCAGCCAAGCACUCUUCUCCCUUCUCAACGUGGCUGCUGGACGUAAGCUUGCUGCUUUUGGGAACGUGAAUUUUCUCUCCUUUCUUCCCCCUUGGUUGCUGCUCCAAAUGGAACCAUAAGCCGUGAGCUGCACUUGGACGUAAGCUUGCUGUGUUUGGAUGCUCCAAGAUGGACCAAGGUGCUGCACGUGAAUUUUCCAGCUGCUUCAGCUUUUCUUCAACAAAAUAUUUCAGCUUUCCACUCUUCUCCUUUCACAUGGUUAAUUCCUUCCAACCGUGGGUUUCUUUCUCAAAGACUAAGGCCGUGUGUGUUUUUUAUGAAUGGAAGAAUCAAAACCAAAGCCACCGUGACACCACUUCAAACCAAUCUGAAUCCAUUUCUUUUGUAUGGGGCCGUGGUGUUUUUUUUUGGUGCUUUUUUUUCCAUCCCGUGAGCAAAUGGCUGCA